rnacentral:rRNA from 1 species
ACUCCUACGGGAGGCAGCAGUAGGGAAUCUUCCGCAAUGGGCGAAAGCCUGACGGAGCAACGCCGCGUGAGUGAUGAAGGUCUUCGGAUCGUAAAACUCUGUUGUUAGGGAAGAACAAAUUUGUUAGUAACUGAACAGGUCUUGACGGUACCUAACCAGAAAGCCACGGCUAACUACGUGCCAGCAGCCGCGGUAAU